UNGCCUUAGUAACGGCGANNGAAGCGGCAACAGCUCAAAUUUGAAAUCUGGCCCUUGGGUCCGAAUUGUAAUUNGUNGCCCCUGAUUUUGGUGCGGUAUCUUCCGAGNUCCUUGGAACNGGACGCUUUAGAGGGUGAGAGCCCCGUACGGUUGAANGCCUAGCCUCUGUAAAUCUCCUUCGACGAGUCGAGUAGUUUGGGAAUGCUGCUCUAAAUGGGAGGUAAAUUUCUUNUAAAGCUAAAUAUUGGCCAGAGACCGAUAGCGCACAAGUAGNGUGAUCGAAAGAUGAAAAGCACUUUGAAAAGAGGGNNAAAUAGCACGUGAAAUUGUUGAAAGGGAAGGAUUUGUGACCAGACUUUUUCUGGGCGGAUCAUCCGGGGUUCUCUCCGGUGCACUUCGCCCAGUAAAGGCCAGCAUCNGUUUUCGGCGUGGGAUAAAAGCAGUAGGAAUGUGGCUCUCUACNNGNAAGGGNUAUAGCCUAUUGUAUAANACCGCGCUGGGACCGAGUCGCGCUCUCAAGAGCG
rnacentral:rRNA from 1 species